GGGGACGCGUGGUAUCGACAGGGGAAGUGGACUGCAGGGUCGCAGGCUGAGGACGCCAUCAAACUCAUUAAACCGGUGGCAAAAAACAAACAACGAACCUGAACUAGUUUACGCCGCCUAGUUAAUAGGCAGCGCGCUCACUCUGGCCCCACCUCAGCGGGCUGGGGAUGGGUGACGAAAAGUUGAGGUGCCGCCACGCUAUGCCGAUAUGCGUGACGAAAGAAAAAUCGGCUGGCCCGGCGAAACUCGGCUGGCAGAGGCUCACCGGGCAAGAUUAAAGAGCCGGCUAAGCCUGUAGCAUACCCUGGGCAGCUUCUUCUGGACGGGGAGUUCGACUCUCCCCCGUCUCCACCA
rnacentral:tmRNA from 1 species